UCGAGGAUCUUCGGCAAUGGGCGCAAGCCUGACCGAGCGACGCCGCGUGAGCGAUGAAGGCCAUUAGGUUGUAAAGCUCUGUCGAGGGGGAACAAGCCGCAAGGUUGAGUGAUCCCUGGAGGAAGCACGGGCUAAGUUCGUGCCAGCAGCCGCGGUAAGACGAACCGUGCGAACGUUGUUCGGAAUCAUUGGGCUUAAAGGGCGCGUAGGCGGGUUGACAAGUCCGGGGUGAAAGCCUCCAGCUCAACUGGAGAAGAGCCCCGGAUACUGUCAGUCUGGAGAGGGAUAGGGGCACAUGGAACUUCCGGUGGAGCGGUGAAAUGCGUAGAGAUCGGAAGGAACGCCGGUGGCGAAAGCGAUGUGCUGGAUCUUUUCUGACGCUGAGGCGCGAAAGCUAGGGGAGCAAACGGG
rnacentral:rRNA from 1 species